rnacentral:rRNA from 1 species
UACAGAGGGGGCAAGCGUUAUUCGGAAUUAUUGGGCGUAAAGAGCUCGUAGGCGGUCUGUUGCGUCCGCUGUGAAAACUCGGGGCUUAACCCCGAGCCUGCAGUGGAUACGGGCAGACUAGAGGUAGGUAGGGGAGAAUGGAAUUCCUGGUGUAGCGGUGAAAUGCGCAGAUAUCAGGAAGAACACCCGUGGCGAAGGCGGUUCUCUGGGACGGUACUGACGCUGAGACGCGAAAGCGUGGGGAGCGAACAGG